AUACCCUGGUAGUCCACGCCCUAAACGAUGUCAACUAGUUGUUGGGUAGGGUUAAACCUAUUAGUAACGUAGCUAACGCGUGAAGUUGACCGCCUGGGGAGUACGGUCGCAAGAUUAAAACUCAAAGGAAUUGACGGGGACCCGCACAAGCGGUGGAUGAUGUGGAUUAAUUCGAUGCAACGCGAAAAACCUUACCUACCCUUGACAUGUCAGGAAUCCCGUAGAGAUAUGGGAGUGCCGCAAGGAACCUGAACACAGGUGCUGCAUGGCUGUCGUCAGCUCGUGUCGUGAGAUGUUGGGUUAAGUCCCGCAACGAGCGCAACCCUUGUCAUUAGUUGCCAUCAUUUAGUUGGGCACUCUAAUGAGACUGCCGGUGACAAACCGGAGGAAGGUGGGGAUGACGUCAAGUCCUCAUGGCCCUUAUGGGUAGGGCUUCACACGUCAUACAAUGGUCGGUACAGAGGGUUGCCAAGCCGCGAGGUGGAGCCAAUCCCAGAAAGCCGAUCGUAGUCCGGAUCGUAGUCUGCAACUCGACUACGUGAAGUCGGAAUCGCUAGUAAUCGCGGAUCAGAAUGCCGCGGUGAAUACGUUCCCGGGUCUUGUACACACCGCCCGUCACACCAUGGGAGUGGGUUUCACCAGAAGUAGCUAGCCUAACCGUAAGGGGGGCGGUUACCACGGUGAGAUUCAUGACUGGGGUG
rnacentral:rRNA from 1 species